rnacentral:rRNA from 1 species
CGCGUAGGCGGCGCGACAAGUCAGAUGUGAAAGCCCCGGGCUCAACCCGGGAAUUGCAUUUGAUACUGUUGUGCUAGAGUCCGGGAGAGGAUGGCGGAAUUCCCAGUGUAGAGGUGAAAUUCGUAGAUAUUGGGAAGAACACCGGUGGCGAAGGCGGCCAUCUGGACCGGUACUGACGCUGAGGCGCGAAAGCGUGGGGAGCAAACA